rnacentral:rRNA from 1 species
AUUGAACGCUGGCGGCAGGCUUAACACAUGCAAGUCGAGCGGGGUGAUGGUGCUUGCACUAUCACUUAGCGGCGGACGGGUGAGUAAUGCUUAGGAAUCUGCCUAUUAGUGGGGGACAACAUCUCGAAAGGGAUGCUAAUACCGCAUACGUCCUACGGGGGAAAGCAGGGGAUCACUUGUGACCUUGCGCUAAUAGAUGAGCCUAAGUCGGAUUAGCUAGUUGGUGGGGUAAAGGCCUACCAAGGCGACGAUCUGUAGCGGGUCUGAGAGGAUGAUCCGCCACACUGGGACUGAGACACGGCCCGGACUCCUACGGGAGGCGGCAGUGGGGAAUGUUGGACAAUGGGGGGAACCCUGAUCCAGCCAUGCCGCGUGUGUGAAGAAGGCCUUAUGGUUGUAAAGCACUUUAAGCGUGGAGGAGGCUCUUUUGGUUAAUACCCAGAAUGAGUGGACGUUACUCGCAGAAUAAGCACCGGCUAACUCUGUGCCAGCCGCCGCCGUAA